rnacentral:rRNA from 1 species
UGGGGAAUAUUGCGCAAUGGGCGAAAGCCUGACGCAGCAACACCGCGUGAGGGAUGACGGCCUUCGGGUUGUAAACCUCUUUCAGCUCCGACGAAGCGAAAGUGACGGUAGGAGCAGAAGAAGCACCGGCUAACUACGUGCCAGCAGCCGCGGUAAUACGUAGGGUGCAAGCGUUGUCCGGAAUUAUUGGGCGUAAAGAGCUCGUAGGCGGUCCGUUGCGUCUGCCGUGAAAACCCGGAGCUCAACUCCGGGCCUGCGGUGGAUACGGGCGGACUAGAGUCCGGUAGGGGAGACUGGAAUUCCUGGUGUAGCGGUGGAAUGCGCAGAUAUCAGGAGGAACACCGGUGGCGAAGGCGGGUCUCUGGGCCGGAACUGACGCUGAGGAGCGAAAGCGUGGGGAGCGAACAGGAUUAGAUACCCUGGUAGUCCACGCCGUAAACGGUGGGCGCUAGGUGUGGGAUCGUUUCCACGAUCUCCGUGCCGUA